AUUUUAAUUAUUGUAUAUAGAUUGCAGUGAUGAUGCGUGAUACCUUAUAUAUUUUCUAUUAACCUAGUAUAGCCUAUUAUAUUUGUUUUGAAAGGAUAGUAGACCUAAUUCUAGUUUUCUCUCGUUCCUUUCAUGCGCCGUCAACAGUAUUUGUUUCCACCCUCCUUCAUAUCUUUGAUGGAACUCUUAGAAUUGUAAUCAUAUAUUUGUCUUGUCAUGGUCAAAUAAAUUGUUCAUCGAACCCACACAUACAUCAACCAAGAGACCCCUCCGUUAAACAUAGAAUUAGCAUUCAAUAGUUUUGUCUAAUUUGGAUUCUAGUUAACAUGAGUCUACGGCUGCAUAUUUGUAGACUAACCACCAUGUCUUUGUCACGGCAAUUUCAAGAUGGCACUUCAUUAACAAAAUAGUUUUUGUAUUUUCAAGAUUUCAGUCACCUAGUUGUAGUUUCAAGAAGCAAAUACCAUUCUUGAUUCUUCGAUCCCUCUAAGUGUAAUCUUCAGAAAGCCCAAUGCUUCGGUGAAAAUGGCAUCAAACUUGUUGGCGCUCUAUUGUGUCGUUGCACUGCUUGACAGAAAGGAGAGGUGUGAUGUGUACAUGUCAAACUGUUCGAGUUGUUGGUUUUGUGGAGUUCGUCAUAUUUUUAAAAGCUUCAAUUCAGUUAUAUAGGUUAUGAGUCUUGGAGUCAAGUACAUGCCUUUCGUGAAGAUUGUCUUGUGUCGUCUGUUAUUUUGUGGAAAAGGGAUAUGCUUACUUAUUUCGUUUUGUACAAAAAAAACAUUGACUAUGAUGUAAAAGAAAGUAUUUUUUAAAAGCAAAAGAUUCGAUGUCAAUGUUAUUAUGAUUUUUAAUGAAGUGAAGUCUGAAUUAUGUUUGUUAUGAGUCAA